AGCGAACGCUGGCGGCAUGCUUAACACAUGCAAGUCGCACGGAGGGGGCAACCCCUCAGUGGCGGACGGGUGAGUAACGCGUAGGUAUCUGUCCAUGGGUGGGGGAUAACAGCGGGAAACUGCUGCUAAUACCGCAUGACACCUGAGGGUCAAAGGCGCAAGUCGCCUGUGGAGGAGCCUGCGUCCGAUUAGCUUGUUGGUGGGGUAACGGCCUACCAAGGCGAUGAUCGGUAGCUGGUCUGAGAGGAUGAUCAGCCACACUGGGACUGAGACACGGCCCAGACUCCUACGGAGGCAGCAGUGGGAAUAUUGGACAAUGGGCGCAAGCCUGAUCCAGCAAUGCCGCGUGGAUGAAGAAGGUCUUCGGAUUGUAAAGUCCUUUCGGCGGGGACGAUGAUGACGGUACCCGCAGAAGAAGCCCCGGCUAACUUCGUGCCAGCAGCCGCGGUAAU
rnacentral:rRNA from 1 species